rnacentral:rRNA from 1 species
CAAUAGCGUAUAUUAAAGUUGUUGCAGUUAAAAAGCUCGUAGUUGGAUUUCUGGUUGAAGCGACCGGUCGGGCGUUGAUUCGUCUGCACUGGAGUCGGUUUUGGCCAUCCUCUAGGAAAGUGCGUCUGGUAUUAAGUUAUCGGGCGUAUGAUCCUGGUCUUUUACUGUGAAAAAAUUAGAGUGUUUAAAGCAGGCCUUCGCCUUUAAUACAUUAGCAUGGAAUAAUAAGAUAGGACUUUGGUCUAUUUUGUUGGUUUGCAGACCGAAGUAAUGAUUAAUAGGGAUAGUUGGGGGUAUUUAUAUUCCGAUGUCAGAGGUGAAAUUCUUAGAUUUUCGGAAGAUAAACUUAUGCGAAAGCAUUUACCAAGGAUGUUUUCAUUAA